rnacentral:rRNA from 1 species
CGGCGUGGAUUAGGCAUGCAAGUCGAGCGAACCCGCAAGGGUUAGCGGCAAAAGGGUGAGUAACACGUAAGCAAUCUGCCCUUAAGUCGAGGAUAGCACCGUGAAAACGGUGGUAAUACUCGAUGUUAUCGGAUAUCCGCAUGGAUGACCGAUCAAAGACCGGGACCGCAAGGCCGGUCGUUCGGAGAUGAGCUUGCGUACCAUCAGCUAGUUGGUAGGGUAAUGGCCUACCAAGGCUAAGACGGUUAGCUGGACUGAGAGGUUGACCAGCCACAUUGGGACUGAGACACUGCCCAGACUCCUACGGGAGGCUGCAGUCGAGAAUAUUUAGCAAUGGACGAAAGUCUGACUAUGCGACGCCGCGUGCAGGAUGAAGGUCUUCGGAUCGUAAACUGCUUUUAUUAGGGGAGAAACCUGUAUGGUUAAUAGCCAUACAGCUGACGGUACCUGAUGAAUAAGCCACGGCAAACUCUGUGCCAGCAGCCGCGGUAAUACAGAGGUGGCAAGCGUUACUCGGAAUUAUUGGGUGUAAAGGGCAGGUAGGUGGUUUGAUAAGUGAGGGGUGAAAUCCUGCGAUUUAAUCGCAGAACAGCCUUUCAAACUGUCAGACUUGAGAGAAACAGAGGAAGAUGGAAUUCCCGGUGU